GAUGAACGCUGGCGGCGUGCCUAAUACAUGCAAGUCGAGCGAACAGACGAGGAGCUUGCUCCUCUGACGUUAGCGGCGGACGGGUGAGUAACACGCGGAUAACCUACCUAUAAGACUGGGAUAACUUCGGGAAACCGGAGCUAAUACCGGAUAAUAUAUUGAACCGCAUGGUUCAAUAGUGAAAGACGGUUUUGCUGUCACUUAUAGAUGGAUCCGCGCCGCAUUAGCUAGUUGGUAAGGUAACGGCUUACCAAGGCAACGAUGCGUAGCCGACCUGAGAGGGUGAUCGGCCACACUGGAACUGAGACACGGUCCAGACUCCCACGGGAGGCAGCAGUAGGGAAUCUUCCGCAAUGGGCGAAAGCCUGACGGAGCAACGCCGCGUGAGUGAUGAAGGUCUUCGGAUCGUAAAACUCUGUUAUUAGGGAAGAACAAAUGUGUAAGUAACUAUGCACGUCUUGACGGUACCUAAUCAGAAAGCCACGGCUAACUACGUG
rnacentral:rRNA from 1 species